rnacentral:rRNA from 2 species
GUCGUCAGCUCGUGUCGUGAGAUGUUGGGUUAAGUCCCGUAACGAGCGCAACCCUUAUUGUUAGUUGCCAGCAUUUAGUUGGGCACUCUAGCGAGACUGCCGGUGAUAAACCGGAGGAAGGCGGGGAUGACGUCAAAUCAUCAUGCCCCUUAUGAUCUGGGCUACACACGUGCUACAAUGGAUGGUACAACGAGUUGCGAGACCGCGAGGUUUAGCUAAUCUCCUAAAGCCAUUCUCAGUUCGGAUUGCAGGCUGCAACUCGCCUGCAUGAAGCUGGAAUCGCUAGUAAUCGCGAAUCAGAACGUCGCGGUGAAUACGUUCCCGGGA